AGGGUCUUGCUUGGCUGACACAGGCUGGCCUUGAGCUCACUAUGAAACCCAGGCAGCUGGGAUUAUAGGCAUGAGCCACCAUCCCCAGCUAUCACAAGGAUCUUACUAGGGAUCAGAGAAAAAACAGAGAGCCAAGACUCAGGAGAUGAAUCACCUUGGAUGCACACAGGUCCAACGACAGAGCCAGCACUGCCCUGUUACCUUUCUGCUGGGGACAAGCAGAUCUUGUUGGUUCUGGUUUCUGUGGCAUCCAAAACAAAGCUGCACUCUGCCCACCUAGAGCAGAUCCUGGACCAAGUAGGAGCACCUGAAGGGAGCAGGAGAGCUUCAAGGAAAAAGCAGCUCUGGUGAACAAGAGGUUCAGUGUCCUGCAGUCCUCACCGCACUGAAGCCCUGGGCGCUGUGCCAUGUGGAUCACAUGGCGCAGUGCAGAAUGCUCGGAAAGCGCACACGUGAUGGUCUCCAUCCAGGGCUCUCUAGCCAGGUUUGGUGGCACAUGCCUGUAAUCCCAGCUACAUGGAGGCUGAGUCUGGAGGAGCACAGUUCCAGGCCGAUCUGAGCAGUUUAGUGAGACCCGAUCGCUACACCGCUCUGUAAGCUGGUUGCAAUAGCACCCACCCUGGUUACUAACAGAACUUUUUGGAUACAAAUGCAAUAAUAUAGACAAAUUCUCUUUGAGAAACUAUAUAGCACUCUUCCUCUUCCUCUUCCCUUCUUCCUCUAUUUUCUUCUUCUUCCUCCUCCUCUUCUUCUUCUUCUCCUCCUCCUCCUUCUCCUUCUCCCUCUCCCUCUCCCUCUUUCUCUUCCUCUUUCUCUUCCUCUUUUUUUCCUCCUCCUCCUCCUCUUCUUCUUCCUCUACUUUCCUCUCUGUCUUUCUCUGUUGCUCUGUCUGUCUCUGUCUGUAUGUCUCUCGGUGUCUGUCUGUCUCUCUCUCCGUACAAGAGUUGUACCCAGGGGGCCUGUACCACUGAGCUAUAUUCCCAACCUUGUUUUAUUUAGAGACAAGAUCUCACUAAAUGCCCGCUGGACUGAAACUAAAUGCAGGCUGGGUGCCUUCUGCCUCAGCCUUCUGCCUUCUGCCUCAGUCUCCCAAGUAUCUGGGGUUAUACCAGUGUGUGCCACCACACCUGGCAACGUGAUCCACUGUCAGAAUGAUCAGACUUGUUAUCAUCUGUGCCUUUCUCCAGCUGCACUCAUAGUGAGGCGGAGGGAAUUGUGAGCUGGGUGUGCAGGAGGCUUUCAGGGGUCACACUGUCCAGCCCCAUCUCCAACAUUCUCUUCCUUGUUUUUCUGAAGUCAGGAUAAUUAAAAGUGUGUGUGUGUGUGUGUGUGUGUGUGUGUGUGUGUGUGUGUGUGUGUGUGGCUGGUAGGAAUCAGGGCGAAAGUUCCGUGGCAUAGCAUGGGAAGGCAAAAAGCAAUCAGAGAAACCUGGGUUUUAAUCUUGUACUGGCCAACUUUUGCUGUCUCACUCGCAGUCCCCAAACCACAGCUGCAAACAGCAGCAGCUUCCAUCGCGGGUUUGCGGAAACAGCCUUAUUUUAUCUCUGUAUGAUCUCCUCCUACCUUAGACUGUUUCCUCAUCUGUAGAAUAGAGAUGGGGCCAAGGUGAGGAUGAUGUGUAAUACUCUCUGCUAAAUAAAUACCUCUUGCAGAGGGUAUACUAGAAACUAGAUGUUCACCCUAAAGGCUAACUAGGUCCUCAGAAAGUGGUUCAGCGUACUGGUGCUCAGGGCACAAGUGUGACCAUUGGCCAAGGCAACCAGAUUUGCUGACCCUCAAAUUCAGAAUAAACAAGAGACCCAGUAACCUAGUGAAAGAGGGAGACACACAUGUAGGGGGAAAAGGGAUACUCUCAAAGACUGUGCAGGUUUAAAAAUCUAGAGAUCAACCUAGGAAUGGUGGUGCAUGUCUGUAAUCCCAGCACUCAGGAGACUGAGACAGAAGAUCACUGUGAGUUCAAGUCCAGGCUAAGUUACAAACAUAAUUUACCAGGUACACCUGUCUUAGCCCCCUCUACACUCACACACAAACGUCUGGAGAUACGUCUGCAGCAACCCCUGGAGUCAUCUCAGUAUUUACAGUUUGCUUUCAGUUUUAGUCUGCAGCCCUCCUGAUUCUUGUAAUAACUUGUAGAUCCCAUUUUCUUAAGAAUUUCUAAGAGGAAUAUUUCCUUGUGAUUACAAGAGCCAAGUUAAGGUACAGAAGAUUCAUGUACAGCUUUGAUCUCAGAGUCUGGCUUAUAGUAGAUCCUUAGCCUACCGUGGACCUGGGGGUUACUGUCCAGUAAUCAGGGAACUGCUUCAGAGCCUGUCACAUGGUUGUUGGAUAAAUGACUAAAUGAAUGGAUUUCUAUGUCUGAGCCACUAAUGAAAGGAACUCACAUGGCAGCCACUCAAUUAUCCUUCCAGCAAAUUCUUUUCAGUGUUGCAAGUAGUUCAUUUGUCCACAUUUCUAAAAACAUUCUAAGAGGCCAGUGCUAGUGCAGCUUUAUUUAGCAUGAAAGUGUCACAAGAAGCUAACUCAUUUUGUGUGCAACAAGAAUCAAGUUUCCAAAAUUUCAGUUGUGUCACCAUAAAAAACAAAGAAACAAUCCCAAAACAAAACAAACCCUGCUAGCAAAGUGCAUUUCUUUGGUGAUUUCAAACAGCUGUUGGUUUUGCAAAUAGGAAGUGUAAUGCUUUGUCAAUAUAUGGUUACUGAACGUAAGUCUGUCCCUGGACAUAAGAAUUAGUAAGAUCAUCCGUUCUUAGAAUGUAAGGUUUUAUAUUUUUUUAUCUCAAUAGAAAGAGCACCAGUAAAUUUUCAUGAAACACGAUCUUCCCCUUCAUUUUCUAUAGGCAUAAUUUUUAUCUGCAGUACCAUACAGCAAGCUUUAACUGAGCAACAUGAACAAAGUGCCAGGAGUGUGCGUAUGGGUGAGAUAGCAUCCCUGCCUUCCAGAGUCUCACAUCUAGAAGGGAAACAGAUGACAAACAACUAAAAGGAUAAGCAUGUGAGAUCAGUAAGGAAAACGUUAUGAGAAAAAAUUAAGCAAAACCAAUAGAAAGAGUAAUUGGAAGAAUUAUUUUUAGAAUUUUUCAAAACACCUAAGGUAGAUACUGACUCACUGUGUGGAUCUUGGUUUGUGUGCCCUAUAAUAGGGGUAUUGUUGUCCUGAAUGGACUGGGAGGACCCUUCUGAGCAUGGUGUUCCCAGUUUCUGUGGUUAUGCAAGGCAGUGGCUGGACAUUCCAUGGCGUCUAAAAAGUCCAAGAUGUUAUUAUCUAGGAAUGGAGAAGGAUUUGUGUGGCACAAGGAAGACCAAGGAGGGUUAGCACCAUUCUGGAAGGGAGAGUCCCAUGACCCAGUCCUUCAGCUGUGCUGAAAAUGAUAUAAUUACAUGAUGUGCGAGGAGCUCUUGGGGAAGGGAAUAACUCUUACAAAGAAGAUUUUUUUGAUCAUAAACAUAGAAAACAUGUAUGUGCUAGGUAUGGUUCUAGUAAGCAUGAUACUAUCAAUAUUCUUAUCAAGUUAAUAAUUAUAGUGACCCUCACAUUACAAAUGAUGAAACCGAGGCACAGAGUACUUUGUAUGCUUUUAAUCCCAGCACUCAGGAGGCUGAGGCAGGAAGAUGGUGAGUCUGAUUACAUAAAGAGACCCUAUCUCAAAAACAAAUGAACAUCCAAACCAAACAAACAAAACCAAAAACACCUAUAAAUCUAAAGGUAACUAUAUUGCAUGUCUUUGGAGAGAUUCUCAGAACAUGGAGAAGGGAAAAUUAACUCCUUAAUUCCAGGGGACUGGGACAAUUUUAUAGACAAGAUUUCAUUUAAUUGUAAACAUAGCCAUUUUCUACUAGUAUACUUUCUAAAUUAUUUUUUAAAAUUUUUUUGAGAUAGAGUCUCGCUAUGUAGUACAGGAUGGCCUUGAACUCACUAGGUAGCCCAGGCUGCCCUCAAACUUGGGACAGUCUUCUUGUCUCAGCCUCCCGAGUGCUGGAAUUGUAGGCAUGUGCCACCAUGCCUGGUUUAAAUUAUUUUAAAACUGUGUAUUUUUAAGUAAACCUUUAUUUAUUUGUUUUUGUAUUUGCAGCACAAGAUGAUUGCAUUCACUGUUAGGGAUUGGUACCUGUACAUAACACAUUUCAAUUCCUUCUUUCCCUCCCUCCACCUCAUUUUAUUUUUCCAGCAUCAGAUUCAUUUAUUUAUUUUAUAACACUUUAUAAAGUUAAUUUUCAUACCUACAGAUUGAAAACCAGACUAGUAGUUCAAAGAAUAUAUAAAACACCUAAGACAGUUGUACUAAGUGAAGGUAUACUUCUAGAUACACUGUCAAACUAGAUUACAACACCUUUUUUCUUUUUCUUAUUAUCUUUUAUUUUGAGCACCUGAUAUUUUUCAUUAAAUGUUUAAAUAGUUGUGAAGCUUGCAAUUUCCAGUGAAGAGAAGAUUCAUACAGGCAAAAGUAAAAUGGUUACAUCAAUUUUAAAUGUAUGCUGUUGAAUUAAAUGCCCUAGCAAUUUGAUACUACAGCCAUCCACUUAAAAAAUACAUGAACAGACUCUUCUCUAACAGACAGUUAUUUACAUCAUUUCUUCUACUUGAAUUCAAAUCUGCACUCCAUGAUUUACCACCAUGAAAUUUUAUUAUAAUUUUUAUGUGUUUAGGAUUAAGCAUGUUAACUAAGUCUAUUUCUUUACUUCAAAUAUUAAUGAAAAAUGAAUUAUUAUUUUACUUUCUCUGACCAUAAGGCUAGAUAUUAAAUUUUUCUAACAUUACAACUAUUGUUGAUCAAAUAAUUGUACACAGUCAAAACAAUAAAAGUAUAUGAUUUUAAUAAAUCCUACAGCAAUUUAAUAUAUGUACUGCCAAAUUGAGCAUGAUUUACACUGUUUUAUUAAGGCAAAACUGACAUCAGAUAAACUACACACACUUAAAUCACUUGAUUUAAGUAUACAUUUAUGAAACUAGUCCUACAAAAUCUGAAAUAAUUAUUAAACAGAGAAAGAAAAUUUUUUUGGAAAUGCCUGUCUUAAUGAUUUGGAUAGAAUGAUUUUUCCUCUCCAAUUAGUUCACUUAAAUGUAGAAGUAUAUUGCUUGUAUUAGAAGCACAUAUGUUUAGCAAUAAUUUUAUUCCUAGUUUCCUUUUUUAUAAAUGUCAAGCUAGAGAUGCUAGCAUCAACUUGCCCUGGUUCACCAGAAUUAGUUUUCAGGAAUGUUUUGAACUGGUUGUUAAACACAUCUAUUACCAAAAAUUAAAUUACAUAAAGUUAGAAUUUAAUAAAUUGUAUUUAAAAUAAAGAAGGGCUUCAGGUAUUUAACUCGGCGGAGAAGCACUUGUGUAGCAUGAGCCAGGCUCUGGCUCCAUCAUAGCACUCGACAAACAAAUAACAAAGGAAAUAAGUAGCCUAAACUUAUCGUACCUCAAUAUAUUUUAUUAUCUAUGCUCUGUUGAAGCCUGUUGUGUAUCUGUGUGGUAGAGAUGCAGCUCAUCUCUUCCCAAUUCCCUGUUCGGUGAAUGACUCUCAAGGCUCUUUGCCAUAAAGGACUAUUUUUUUGUCUUUUUGAAACAAAUUUCCACUGUGCAGUUCAGGACUGCCUUGAACUCACUUUGUAGCCCAGACUGGCCUCAAUCUCAAAAUGAGCCUCCUACCUCAGCCUCUUAAACUGCUGGGAUUACAGGUGUAUACCACUGCACCCAGCCCAUUUAAAAAAAAAACCAAGAAGAGAAAUCAGUCCAAAUAUGGGCAUCUGAGAUGAAUACAGAGUUCUCAGAUGAAGAAAUACAAAUGGCAAAUAAACACAUGAAAAAAAUGUUCAUCAUCAUUAGUCAUUAGAGAAAUGCAAAUUAAAACCACAUUGAGAUUCCAUCUCACUCCAGGAAGAAUAGCCAGGAUCAAGAAAACCACCAACAAUAAAUGCUGGAGAGGCUGUGGGGAAAAAGAAACACUCCUGCACUGUUGGUGGGAGUAUAGACUGGUGCAACCACUGUGAAGGUCAAUCUGGAGAUUUCUCAAAAGGCUGGGAUUGGAAGUCCCAUUUGUUCUAGCUAUUCCACUUCUAGGCAUGUUCCCAGAAGAACUCAAAACAUCAUUCCACAGUGAUAUAUGUGCACCCAUGUUUAUAGCAGCACAAUUUGUAAUACCCAGAUCUUGGAAACAACCGAAGUGUCCAACAACUGAGGAAUGGAUAAAAAAAAGUUGUGGUAUUUUUACACGAUGGAGUACUACUCAGCUAUAAAAAAUGAUCACAUUGAGACAUUUAUAAAUAAAUGGAUGCAACUUGAGACCAUACUCAUAAGCAAAAUAAAUCAAACUCACAUGUAUAAAUACCAAAGUCUCCCAGUAUAAGAAAUGGUAAGAGUACAUAAGAGUUUAUGGUAAUCAUGAUUCCCCAUUACAUUGCUUUGAAGCCUUAUAAUGUUUUCAUUCAUUAGUUGGAAUGGUUUUAUUCUGUUUUGUUUGAUUUUAUUAUCUGUGAUGGUAUAAACAGCUAUUUUGAAGAAAACAAGACAUUAUAAUAGCCAGUGCUGAUUUAAUAUCAUCUUGCUUUGAAGUACUACCAUACUUUUGUUCUUCUGUUUCCAUUGGUUCUAUCAUGUAAUAUCUUACUGGAUUUUAUCACGUGUGGUAGUAUAAACAAAAUUUUUUAUGGACAAUGAGAUAAUAUAGUAACCAUUGUUCAUUUUCUGCUAUUUGGUUCUGAAUUCCCUGUAGUAUUUUCAUUCUCUUUAAUGGUUUUAUACUAUUUUGUUACGUUUGAUUGUAUUGGGUAUGAAGGUAUGCUCAACUAUUUCAAGGAAAGACAUUAUGGUAGCUACUGUUAUAUCGGGUUGUCUUGUGGUGAAAUACUGUGUUGCUUAAAUUGUUCUGUUCUGA